UACGGGGGGGGGGCAAGCGUUUGUUCGGAAUUACUGGGCGUAAAGGGCUCGUAGGCGGCCAACUAAGUCAGACGUGAAAUCCCCAGGCUCAACCUGGGAACUGCGUCUGAUACUGGAUGGCUUGAAUUCGGGAGAGGGAUGCAGAAUUCCAGGUGUAGCGGUGAAAUGCGUAGAUAUCUGGAGGAAUACCGGUGGCGAAGGCGGCAUCCUGGACCGACAUUGACGCUGAUGAGCGAAAGCUAGGGGAGCAAACAGG
rnacentral:rRNA from 1 species